rnacentral:rRNA from 1 species
CCCUUAGAUGUUCGGGGCCGCACGCGCGCUACACUGAAGGAAUCAGCACGUCUUUCUCCUUGUCCGAAAGGACUGGGUAACCCGCUGAACCUCCUUCGUGCUAGGGAUUGGGGCUUGUAAUUCUUCCCCAUGAACGAGGAAUUCCCAGUAAGCGCGAGUCAUAAGCUCGCGUUGAUUACGUCCCUGCCCUUUGUACACACCGCCCGUCGCUACUACCGAUUGGAUGGUUUAGUGAGAUCCUCGGAUUGGUCCCGGAGCGGCCUCUGGUCGUGCCGGAGUGCCGAAAAGAAUGUCGAACUUGAUCAUCUAGAGGAAGUAAAAGUCGUAGCA